rnacentral:sRNA from 1 species
GGAUAAGAGGGAAAUCUAUCUGUCAUAUCUGUUACUCCACUAAUCUUCAGGUUAUUUCUAUUGCUAUAACUGGCCAGGUAGAUGCCCACUUCCUCCCUCACCAUUCUGUGUGUGUCCCUUCCCAAACUGCACCCUUUCCCAGUAGAAGAGGGCAUCUCUUUAGCCAAGUGUAUUCAAGUGGCUAAGCUCCCCUGAUAGAAUCUCCAAACAACUAAUUUCAUAUGUU